GACGAACGCUGGCGGCGUGCUUAACACAUGCAAGUCGAACGAUGAAGCCAGCUUGCUGGUGGAUUAGUGGCGAACGGGUGAGUAACACGUGGGUGAUCUGCCCCAAACUUUGGGAUAAGCCUGGGAAACUGGGUCUAAUACCGAAUAUGACCGAUACUCGCAUGGGUGUUGGUGGAAAGCUCCGGCGGUUUGGGAUGGGCCCGCGGCCUAUCAGCUUGUUGGUGGGGUAAUGGCCUACCAAGGCGACGACGGGUAGCCGGCCUGAGAGGGCGACCGGCCACACUGGGACUGAGAGACGGCCCAGACUCCUACGGGAGGCAGCAGUGGGGAAUAUUGCAAAAUGGGCGAAAGCCUGAUGCAGCGACGCCGCGUGAGGGAUAACGGCCUUCGGGUUGUAAACCUCUUUCACCAGGGACGAAGCGAAAGUGACGGUACCUGGAGAAGAAGCACCGGCCAACUACGUG
rnacentral:rRNA from 1 species